rnacentral:siRNA from 1 species
GAAAGACUUUGUUCCAGAGGGAGG